rnacentral:rRNA from 1 species
GAAAAAUGGUCGAUUAAAGGGUUAAAUAAUCCUCAGUCGAUGAACCGUAGCCCGCCAGAAGAAGCACCACUAACUCCGUGCCAGCAGCCCGCGGGUAAAUACGGAGGGUGCAAGCGUUAAUCGGAAUUUACUGGGCGUAAAGCGCACGCAGGCGGUCUGUCAAGUCGGAUGUGAAAUCCCCGGGCUCAACCUGGGAACUGCAUUCGAAACUGGCAGGCUAGAGUCUUGUAGAGGGGGGGUAGAAUUCCAGGUGUAGCGGUGAAAUGCGUAGAGAUCUGGAGGAAUACCGGUGGCGAAGGCGGCCCCCUGGACAAAGACUGACGCUCAGGUGCGAAAGCGUGGGGAGCAAACAGGAUUAGAUACCCUGGUAGUCCACGCCGUAAACGAUGUCGACUUGGAGGUUGUGCCCUUGAGGCGUGGCUUCCGGAGCUAACGCGUUAAGUCGACCGCCUGGGGAGUACGGCCGCAAGGUUAAAACUCAAAUGAAUUGACGGGGGCCGCACAAGCGGUGGAGCAUGUGGUUUAAUUCGAUGCAACGCGAAGAACCUUACCUACUCUUGACAUCCAGAGAACUUUCCAGAGAUGGAUUGGUGCCUUCGGGAACUCUGAGACAGGUGCUGCAUGGCUGUCGUCAGCUCGUGUUGUGAAAUGUUGGGUUAAGUCCCGCAACGAGCGCAACCCUUAUCCUUUGUUGCCAGCGGUUAGGCCGGGAACUCAAAGGAGACUGCCAGUGAUAAACUGGAGGAAGGUGGGGAUGACGUCAAGUCAUCAUGGCCCUUACGAGUAGGGCUACACACGUGCUACAAUGGCGCAUACAAAGAGAAGCGACCUCGCGAGAGCAAGCGGACCUCAUAAAGUGCGUCGUAGUCCGGAUUGGAGUCUGCAACUCGACUCCAUGAAGUCGGAACGCUAGUAAUCGUAGAUCAGAAUGCUACGGUGAAUACGUUCCCGGGCCUUGUACACACCGCCCGUCACACCAUGGGAGUGGGUUGCAAAGAAGUAGGUAGCUUAACCUUCGGGAGGGCGCUUACCACUUUGUGAUUCAUGACUGGGGGAAGUCGAGC